CCCGCCAGGAGCCAGAGACAGUGAGCCUUCAGCCAACAGUGGUAACCUGAUGAACCAAACUAACUCAUCUGGAUUGAGGAAGUGAAAGCAAAAUCUCUCUUCAUCCUCUUCCACUCCUUCCAGAUUUCAUCUUCUCCAAUAUCUCCAGAACUUCAUUGAAGGAAAAGUACAAUGUAUAUUGCGAACCUAGGAGCUUACCCAUUGAAAGAAGGCAUUGUGGAUUGUGAUCAUGAAAUGAUCACUUUUCUGAAUGAAGGUUGCAGGGAUGCAGUGCCACAGAGGCAAUAACAGGUUUGUAAUUUGGACUAGAAGAUCAUGGAAGGAACAAUUGAUAGGGGUGAUGGCUUCAGGUGUAAUUCUAAAUUAGUGGUACAUAAAGCAAAA